GGGGAAUUAGCUCAGUUGGCUAGAGCGCCUGCCUUGCACGCAGGAGGUCAAGGGUUCGACUCCCUUAUUCUCCACCA
rnacentral:tRNA from 1 species